rnacentral:tRNA from 1 species
CGCGCACGUGGCGCCGGUCGGUGCGCCGACGGCCGUCCCGGAGCCGGUCGACCCCACCGGGUCGGGCGACGACCGUCCGGCGCCGUCGUACGUGCC